CCUGCUUCCAGCCCUACCAGCCGGUCACUCGCGCCUUGCAAUGAGGAAACCAGGAGUCCUAUCUAGGAAUUGGUGGUGUCUUGGAAUAUCUGCUUCAGGACGAUAAUGAAACUAAUGAUUUAGGGCAGUAGAAGAAGCCGUGGGAGGAACUUUCACAUUUGGCGAGGGGUUCCUGAGGACACUGAGAAAGGGAAAUAUAUCAUAUGGCAAUAUUCCAUAAAAUAAAUUACCUGGAGACAGUAUAAAAAUUUGCAAGGAUACAGACACAAGGCAUGUAAUUAUUAUAAAUAUAUAAAGAAUGUAUGACUACUUUUAGAUAUAAUCAC
rnacentral:lncRNA from 10 species